UGGGGAAUUUUGGACAAUGGGCGCAAGCCUGAUCCAGCCAUGCCGCGUGCGGGAAGAAGGCCUUCGGGUUGUAAACCGCUUUUGUCAGGGAAGAAAUCUUCUGAGUUAAUACCUCGGGAGGAUGACGGUACCUGAAGAAUAAGCACCGGCUAACUACGUGCCAGCAGCCGCGGUAAUACGUAGGGUGCAAGCGUUAAUCGGAAUUACUGGGCGUAAAGCGUGCGCAGGCGGUUUUGUAAGACAGAGGUGAAAUCCCCGGGCUCAACCUGGGAACUGCCUUUGUGACUGCAAGGCUUGAGUGCGGCAGAGGGGGGAUGGAAUUCCGCGUGUAGCAGUGAAAUGCGUAGAUAUGCGGAGGAACACCGAUGGCGAAGGCAAUCCCCUGGGCCUGCACUGACGCUCAUGCACGAAAGCGUGGGGAGCAAACAGGAUUAGAUACCCUGGUAGUCCACGCCCUAAACGAUGUCAACUGGUUGUUGGGAAGGUUCCUUCUCAGUAACGUAGCUAACGCGUGAAGUUGACCGCCUGGGGAGUACGGCCGCAAGGUUGAAACUUAAAUGAAUUGACGGGGUCAU
rnacentral:rRNA from 1 species